rnacentral:lncRNA from 1 species
AGUGGUCUACAGGGCCACCAAAGCCAAGGUGGGGGCUACGUCGACUGAAGAAAAAUACACAAUCUAAAAGUUGUGAAUUAUGUUUUAUUUAGGAAACUUGCUGAGGACUAUAGCCCAGGAGGUAGCCUCUCAGUUCAGAGGCAUUACUCUCAAGUAAGGGAGGAGUUUUUGCUGGGAAAAAAAAACAAAAAUAUAAACAAACAUGUAGUUUAAUAUCAAAAGACUAUUGCUAAUUACCAAAACAGCAACAAUGAAAAAACUUAUCUCAAGUUGAUGAUUUUAGUGUUUUUCUAAGGGAAGAUGCAAGAGUCUGGGUGCAUUGAAAUUAUUCCUUAGAUAUAGAUCUUAACUAUGUAGGGCCAGUAUCUUGUUUUUCUCUACCUUGAAUUCCCCCCAGGGCCCACGGGCAGGGGCAGCUAUAGUGGCUGAUGACUUGAUGGCUUGUAACAUCUGUUGUUUACUGAAGUGGUAGGCAACUUUUUUAAAAUUUUUUAUCUGCAGCUGGGAUCAAGUCACAAGGGAAGACCCUCCACCCCUGACUGGGCCAGAAACAGCCACCGUUUGCCCAAGCACAAAGCUGCUUUCUUCCUGACCUUUGACUCUUCCCACAAAGAAGUUCAUGACAACGGUGUUUUCAGAAGCCAAUACCAUAUCCUCCUGUUUCUACUUGCAAGAAAAUACCUGGGCUCCCACUUUCUCCAACAAGGGAAGCUAAAGCACUCUUGGAAGCGGAAACCACAGAGCCACUGGUAAGCCGUCCAGAUUGUGAGUCAUAGAC